UUACCGAGUUUACAACUCCCAAACCCAAUGUGAACGUUACCAAACUGUUGCCUCGGCGGGAUCUCUGCCCCGGGUGCGUCGCAGCCCCGGACCAAGGCGCCCGCCGGAGGACCAACCUAAAACUCUUAUUGUAUACCCCCUCGCGGGUUUUUUUAUAAUCUGAGCCUUCUCGGCGCCUCUCGUAGGCGUUUCGAAAAUGAAUCAAAACUUUCAACAACGGAUCUCUUGGUUCUGGCAUCGAUGAAGAACGCAGCGAAAUGCGAUAAGUAAUGUGAAUUGCAGAAUUCAGUGAAUCAUCGAAUCUUUGAACGCACAUUGCGCCCGCCAGUAUUCUGGCGGGCAUGCCUGUCCGAGCGUCAUUUCAACCCUCGAACCCCUCCGGGGGGUCGGCGUUGGGGAUCGGCCCUCCCUUAGCGGGUGGCCGUCUCCGAAAUACAGUGGCGGUCUCGCCGCAGCCUCUCCUGCGCAGUAGUUUGCACACUCGCAUCGGGAGCGCGGCGCGUCCACAGCCGUUAAACACCCAACUUCUGAAAUGUUGACCUCGGAUCAGGUAGGAAUACCCGCUGAACUUAAGCAUAUCAAUAAGCGGAGG
rnacentral:rRNA from 2 species